GUUAAUAUUGGGCAAACUUACUGAAAGGUAAGGACGCAAAGCCGUGGGUCUAAGGAAUUGUCUAUGACUGCCAGGUUGCGAAU
rfam:Pelosinus fermentans B4 ctg19, whole genome shotgun sequence.